UACGGGGUGCGGCGCCACUCGGUGUACCACUAAAUUGCGUAAGACCUAUUGAAUACAAAUCUGAGAUCGCCUGAAUUAUGGGGUGCGGUGCGACUCGGUGUCGACCUAAUAGAGUAGAGCCUUGUAAAGACCCCAUCAACAAAAAAUGUGAAGCUGCGAUAAAUACUUUAGAUGUACAUCGACUGAAAAAUGAAAUGGCAGACAAGAGUCUUGAUAAAUUGUUUGAUGAAAUCUUCAAGGUUGUUAUUGAAUCAUCAAAUUUUUAUUUGAAAAAUGCUGAGAUUACAUGCGUAACACCAAACCAGCAUAUUACGUUGUGGGCUGGUAAUAAAGUCAACAAGUAUGUUAUCAGGAUGGUCAACCCAGAUAAUAUCACUACCAAAUUUA